rnacentral:rRNA from 1 species
CCUACGGGUGACUGCAGUGGGGAAUAUUGCACAAUGGGGGAAACCCUGAUGCAGCGACGCCGCGUGAAGGAAGAAGUAUUUCGGUAUGUAAACUUCUAUCAGCAGGGGAGAAAAUGACGGUACCUGACUAAGAAGCCCCGGAUAACUACGUGCCAGCAGCCGCGGUAAUACGUAGGGGGCCAGCGUUAUCCGGAUUUACUGGGUGUAAAGGGAGCGUAGGCGGUUUAGCAAGUCCGCAGUGAAAGCCCGGGGCUCAACUCCGGGACUGCUUUUGAAACUGUUGAACUAGAGUGCAGGAGAGGUAAGUGGAAUUCCUGGUGUAGCGGUGAAAUGCGUAGAUAUUAGGAGGAACACCAGUGGCGAAGGCGGCUUACUGGACUGUAAAUGACGCUGAGGCUCGAAAGCGUGGGGAGCAAACAGGAAUAGAUACCCGUGUAGUC